rnacentral:rRNA from 1 species
CCUACGGGUGGCAGCAGUGAGGAAUAUUGGUCAAUGGACGAGAGUCUGAACCAGCCAAGUAGCGUGAAGGAUGACUGCCCUACGGGUUGUAAACUUCUUUUAUAUGGGAAUAAAAUGUUCCACGUGUGGCAUCUUGUAUGUACCCUAUGAAUAAGGCUCGGCCAACUCCGUGCCAGCAGCCGCGGUAAUACGGGGGAUGCAAGCGUUAUCCGGAGUUUUUGGGGUUAAAGGGUGCGUAGGCUGGGAGGUAAGUUAGCGGGGUAAUGCCGCCGCUCAACGGGGUUAAGUGCCAUUGAUACUGGCGUGCUUGAGUGCAGAUGUCGUAGGAGGAAUGUGUGGUGUAGCGGUGAAAUGCAUAGAUAUCACGCAGAACACCGAUUGCGAAGGCAUCUCGCG